rnacentral:rRNA from 1 species
AAUAGAUACCCGGGUAGUCCACCCCGUAAACGUUGGGAACUAGUUGUGGGGUCCUUUCCACGGAUUCCGUGACGCAGCUAACGCAUUAAGUUCCCCGCCUGGGGAGUACGGCCGCAAGGCUAAAACUCAAAGGAAUUGACGGGGACCCGCACAAGCGGCGGAGCAUGCGGAUUAAUUCGAUGCAACGCGAAGAACCUUACCAAGGCUUGACAUACACCAGAACACCCUAGAAAUAGGGGACUCUUUGGACACUGGUGAACAGGUGGUGCAUGGUUGUCGUCAGCUCGUGUCGUGAGAUGUUGGGUUAAGUCCCGCAACGAGCGCAACCCUCGUUCUAUGUUGCCAGCACGUAAUGGUGGGAACUCAUGGGAUACUGCCGGGGUCAACUCGGAGGAAGGUGGGGAUGACGUCAAAUCAUCAUGCCCCUUAUGUCUUGGGCUUCACGCAUGCUACAAUGGCCGGUACAAAGGGCUGCAAUACCGUGAGGUGGAGCGAAUCCCAAAAAGCCGGUCCAGUUCGGAUUGAGGUCUGCAACUCGACCUCA